AUUUUAUAUGGCAAUGUAGAGG
rnacentral:miRNA from 1 species